UGGCGACCGGCGCACGGGUGAGUAACGCGUAUGCAACUUACCUAUCAGAGGGGGAUAGCCCGGCGAAAGUCGGAUUAAUACCCCAUAAAACAGGGGUCCCGCAUGGAAAUAUUUGUUAAAGAUUCAUCGCUGAUAGAUAGGCAUGCGUUCCAUUAGGCAGUUGGCGGGGUAACGGCCCACCAAACCGACGAUGGAUAGGGGUUCUGAGAGGAAGGUCCCCCACAUUGGAACUGAGACACGGUCCAA
rnacentral:rRNA from 1 species